AUAUUUUAAGAAAAAUCCAUGAAAAGGACUCUGACUUACUCUAAGUUGAAGGCUUCUAAACAGUGUUAAAGGAACCUCACCGUCUCAGGCACCCAACGCGAAUGGUUAGGUCUCUGAUACUCACCUUCAGCUCACGGAUGAGCAGCCGCCAACCAGGGAGGAGGCAAGACGCCACGAGGCCUGUGUGCUCACAAACUGAUGCUGCUCCAGCCUUGUUCUAAGUCACCAGUGUUACUGAUUGAAUAAAUCAUGCUGACAUUAUAGGAGAGCAGGAAAAGAAGUGCUGGGAGCUGGAAGGAGGAGCGCAGACUCUGUCGUUGCAGGAGUGCCUGUGUGGAGCAGCUGGACACCAGAGAAGAAUGGUCCUGGAGGUGCUGGGAGGGCCAUAGACUCUCUUACGACCCCGGAGUGGUCGACGUAGAAGCAACAUUCCUCUCCCAAAGCCGCACAAAG